AGUGAACGCUGGCGGUAGGCCUAACACAUGCAAGUCGAACGGCAGCACAGUAAGAGCUUGCUCUUACGGGUGGCGAGUGGCGGACGGGUGAGGAAUACAUCGGAAUCUACUUUUUCGUGGGGGAUAACGUAGGGAAACUUACGCUAAUACCGCAUACGACCUACGGGUGAAAGCAGGGGAUCUUCGGACCUUGCGCGAUUGAAUGAGCCGAUGUCGGAUUAGCUAGUUGGCGGGGUAAAGGCCCACCAAGGCGACGAUCCGUAGCUGGUCUGAGAGGAUGAUCAGCCACACUGGAACUGAGACACGGUACAGAAACCUACGGGAGGCAGCAGUGGGGAAGAUUGGACAAUGGGCGCAAGCCUGAUCCAGCCAUACCGCGUGGGUGAAGAAGGCCUUCGGGUUGUAAAGCCCUUUUGUUGGGAAAGAAAAGCAGCAGGUUAAUACCCCGCUGUUCUGACGGUACCCAAAGAAUAAGCACCGGCUAACUUCGU
rnacentral:rRNA from 1 species